rnacentral:rRNA from 1 species
UAACGCGUGAGGAACCUGCCUUCCAGAGGGGGACAACAGUUGGAAACGACUGCUAAUACCGCAUGACACAUGACCGUGGCAUCACGGACAUGUCAAAGAUUUAUCGCUGGAAGAUGGCCUCGCGUCUGAUUAGCUAGUAGGCGGGGUAACGGCCCACCUAGGCGACGAUCAGUAGCCGGACUGAGAGGUUGACCGGCCACAUUGGGACUGAGAUACGGCCCAGACUCCUACGGGAGGCAGCAG